UUUCUACUCUCUUCUCUCUCUUUCUUCUUCGGGUAACCCUAGAGGCUCAGCCUCUGAGCUCUCUCCCUCUUUCAUUGCAAAAAUGGCAAGUAUUCAGAGAAUGCAUAGUCCUCACAGACGUAGUACAGCCUGAAUCAUGAAAAUAAUUAAUGUUUGGUCUCCUUUUCAUUCAAACUUGCCCCAAACGGUAUUAAAAUCCCUCCUUUUACUCUUUCUUUGCAUUGUUAAGUCAAAAUCACGAUUUUUCUGUCAAUUAAAGUUAUGUUGCUUUAUGAUUUUGCGCUAUUUUUCUAUUGGUCUUCGUGGGUUGGGUCAGAUCGACUUUGAAAGGAAUGAAUCUAGCUGUAGAUGUUGUUUAACUCUAAAUCUCAGAAGUUGAAUUCAUUUUUACUGAAAAAAUGGGUUUGUACCAUAUCAUUGGUUUCACCAUUUUGCACAGCCUUGGGGUUCUAUAAAUAGAAUCUCCACCAGAAAAAAAAGAAAAAAAAAAAAGGAAGAGAGAAAAAAGUUGGAAAAAAAAAAGAAAGAAAAGGGUUUUUAGAACCAAGAAGCUUGAACUUUUGAGUUUUACUCGAGGUUUAUGCUUCAUUAGUAUAGUUUUAGACUUCAACUAAGGGGUUAGAGUCUUUUAUAGUUCUAAAAUUUGUUUAUUUUGUGCUUUGUGUGGCUGAGAUUUGAAUUUGGAAGCACCAAGGUCUUCAAAUCCAUUCUUUUCCUGGCUGCGCACUCAAAAGGUUGAGAGGCCGCUUAAGUAAAGGGGGAUCUAGUUUGAACCCUUCCCUGGUGACUAGCCAUGCCGGAGGUUCAUGAAACCUCUUGAAACUUGUGCGGCAUCAGGAAUAAAGGGGGUGAUGACUUGGCCUUCCACCACAUAGUUUGGGAUAUUGAGUUUGAGGACAUGGAACACACAUAUAUCUCGCAUGAUCUCGUGAAUAAAUAUGAUAUGUUUCUUAUAUAUGUUGUAUAUUCAUGUAUAGAAUGGGAUCUAUAAAAUAGUAGUUUACUAUGUAUAUUAUGUGCAUAUAUCAUAUGUAUGAUAGGAACAGUAAAUAUAAAGUAAUCGGGGUUUUCUGGUUUUUCCCCUCUCUACUGCAUGGCCACUUGGGCCGAAGUCCAACCACCUUAUUGGGCUAAAAGCCCAAUAGGGAAAAUUUCUUUCAAAUGUCUUCGAGUCCAAAAGGAAAAAAGGGAAGCUAAUAUAUUGAAGGCCCAAUCAUGGGGAAAAAUGAUAAGAAGGCCCAACCAUGGGUGAAAAUGCUUGGGGUUUGGUACACCCCAUUUCAUUUUAUCCUGUCAUAUUUUCAUUAUCUUUUGGCUUAUUUGUAUUGUAUUUGUUACUUGUAAACCCACAAACAUUAUUGGAACCAUUACUAUGAA